rnacentral:rRNA from 1 species
ACAUUUGAGUGAGUGGCGAACUGGUGAGUAACACGUGGGAAACCUGCCCAGAAGCGGGGGAUAACACCUGGAAACAGAUGCUAAUACCGCAUAACAACUUGGACCGCAUGGUCCGAGUUUGAAAGAUGGCUUCGGCUAUCACUUUUGGAUGGUCCCGCGGCGUAUUAGCUAGAUGGUGGGGUAACGGCUCACCAUGGCAAUGAUACGUAGCCGACCUGAGAGGGUAAUCGGCCACAUUGGGACUGAGACACGGCCCAAACUCCUACGGGAGGCAGCAGUAGGGAAUCUUCCACAAUGGACGAAAGUCUGAUGGAGCAACGCCGCGUGAGUGAAGAAGGGUUUCGGCUCGUAAAACUCUGUUGUUAAAGAAGAACAUAUCUGAGAGUAACUGUUCAGGUAUUGACGGUAUUUAACCAGAAAGCCACGGCUAACUACGUGCCAGCAGCCGCGGUAAUACGUAGGUGGCAAGCGUUGUCCGGAUUUAUUGGGCGUAAAGCGAGCGCAGGCGGUUUUUUAAGUCUGAUGUGAAAGCCUUCGGCUCAACCGAAGAAGUGCAUCGGAAACUGGGAAACUUGAGUGCAGAAGAGGACAGUGGAACUCCAUGUGUAGCGGUGAAAUGCGUAGAUAUAUGGAAGAACACCAGUGGCGAAGGCGGCUGUCUGGUCUGUAACUGACGCUGAGGCUCGAAAGUAUGGGUAGCAAACAGGAUUAGAUACCCUGGUAGUCCAUACCGUAAACGAUGAAUGCUAAGUGUUGGAGGGUUUCCGCCCUUCAGUGCUGCAGCUAACGCAUUAAGCAUUCCGCCUGGGGAGUACGGCCGCAAGGCUGAAACUCAAAGGAAUUGACGGGGGCCCGCACAAGCGGUGGAGCAUGUGGUUUAAUUCGAAGCUACGCGAAGAACCUUACCAGGUCUUGACAUACUAUGCAAAUCUAAGAGAUUAGACGUUCCCUUCGGGGACAUGGAUACAGGUGGUGCAUGGUUGUCGUCAGCUCGUGUCGUGAGAUGUUGGGUUAAGUCCCGCAACGAGCGCAACCCUUAUUAUCAGUUGCCAGCAUUAAGUUGGGCACUCUGGUGAGACUGCCGGUGACAAACCGGAGGAAGGUGGGGAUGACGUCAAAUCAUCAUGCCCCUUAUGACCUGGGCUACACACGUGCUACAAUGGAUGGUACAACGAGUUGCGAACUCGCGAGAGUAAGCUAAUCUCUUAAAGCCAUUCUCAGUUCGGAUUGUAGGCUGCAACUCGCCUACAUGAAGUCGGAAUCGCUAGUAAUCGCGGAUCAGCAUGCCGCGGUGAAUACGUUCCCGGGCCUUGUACACACCGCCCGUCACACCAUGAGAGUUUGUAACACCCAAA